GCGCGCACGCAUGUGACGCAGAAGAGCGCGCGGACACGGCAAAAACGCGUGACGCUUAGACGUUGUUCAGUUUUUUUUUAUCAGUUUAUUUUUUAUUUUUUUAUUUUUUUUCACAACCCUGCCAAAGUGAAUCUACGACAGGACUCUCAGGAGAGUUUGAUUCAGCGGUCAGAUGACUGUCCAGCAGGUUCAUAUUACUGUGAAGUGACCGGUUCUGUGGAAUAAUGUCGUGUGAAGUAGAAGUCUUCAUUCUCUUCCCAGAUAUCACAGGUCUCUGUGGAUGAAGCUGUUCUGCUCCAGGUACUCCAUCCCCUCGCAGACGUCCUGACACAUGAAGAGCAGCUGGACGCGGCCCACGGUUCUGCUGUGCUGCCGCAGGAAGUGAAGCAAGCAGCCG